rnacentral:rRNA from 1 species
CGCGGUGAAUACGUUCCCGGGUCUUGUACACACCGCCCGUCAAGCCAUGGAAGCUGGGUGUACCUAAAGUCGAUAACCGUAAGGAGUCGCCUAGGGUAAAACUAGUAACUGGGGCU